UGUUUACUAUCAAUCAAAGAGUAAAAUAACUUGCAUACAGCUAUCAAUCCAAAAUUUUAGUGUAUUUAAAGACCUUCAAAUAUUCGGUUGAUCUUUAACAAAAAAUUCAUUGGCAUUAGACAAAUUUUUCAAGAGCAUAUCUUCAUGUCUGUCCCAUAAUGAUGAAGUUGUUUCCUUUUCUCUGCGUGGAGAAGUGCCUACGAAAAUUAAAUUUCGUUUUAGGAUAAUUACUACUAAUAUUAUAAAUGUGAAUGUAUUUGUCUGUUACGCCUUCACGCAAAAACUACUUAUCAUCAUGAAAAUUUGUACAUAUAUUCUUGGAGGUCUAAGAGAUGUUCCAUUCCAUGUUUUCCCAGAUCCAGCCAAAUGUCUUGAGCGGUUUAAGGCUUGGGUCAUAUUUUUGGUGGAAAAUUGAAAACACCUCAUGAUUAUGAAGAUUGUAGAAAGAGGAAACUUUGUGACAUUCAUUUUACAAAUAAAGACCACAAUCGUAAUCAUCGGUUAAAUACAUUAGCAGUUCCAUCUGUACAUUUACCUAGUAGGAUUCCUGCUAUUACACAGCAAGAAACAAAUAUAAGCUCUGUUUCUGAAAGUUUAUCUACUGGGCCUUCAACUUCUUUCACAGGUAAUUUAUAUAAAAAAAAAAAAAUAUGUAUACUUUUUAUAUAAAGAAUAUGCUGAUUCUAAGUCCUUUAAAACAUGUACCAUUAUUUACUAUUACAAACUUGAAAUUAGGCACAGAGGUAGUUUAUAGUUAGUAGACGUACCUUAUGAAAGGAUUAUGUGACAGGACUGGUUUAAGGUGGUCUUAGGGCUUACGUGAGUCUGUAUGAAACUUACUUAAGGUGAACCAUAAAUGUGGUACAAACGGGUCAUAAAUUAUUGUAAUGAAGCUGUGGGCAACUACUAGUACCUGUAGAAAAUAUAUUUUUAAGUACCUAUGUUUUAAUAACUAUUCUGAAGGGAGUAAUAUUUUUAACAUUAAAUAAUGUCAUUAUUGAUAACAAUAUUCUUUCAUUUCAGUCAAUGCAACCUGUUAUGAGGCUGAAGCUGCCAUGCUGGAGCAUGAUUACUGUAUCACAUAUGAU
rnacentral:misc_RNA from 1 species